GGACGAUGCCCACCCACGUCGGUACCGCCAACCUCCAGACACUAAAAGGCGCACACUCCCGUGGCCUCCCUGCAGCCGAGCAGGGCUCUGGCACACAGCUGGUGCUUAAUAAAUGUGUGUCAGGAUGGAAUUAGGGAGAAACCUGCUGACAGAUGGAGACGGCUGCCUGAUGGGCAGAAACGCCUGCAGCCCAGCCGUUCAUUGUGUUUCCCAGGGAAAACCAUCAGGGCAGAAGGAGAGGGAUGGGCGGAUCCUGCACCCUCCCCCACGCCUCCCACCCCCGCGUCCCGGUCCAUCUUCUGGACACAUGACAGGCAAAGGGAAAGUAGCCAGUGUCCAUGGAGGUGUGGCCUCUGCCAGCCCACAGCUGACGGGUGGCCUGAGGACUGCAAGGGCGUCUACGUGAGAGAGGAGACCGGGACCAAUGGAAGGAGGGCCACGAGCAGGGGACACUGCCGUCUCUGAAGCCACACCCCGCCAGGCCUAGAGCCGGACCCUCCACUUAUGUCCUGCUGCAACGUCCUCCCCAGAUCCCCGCGGUUGGAGAACUGCCUGCUUUACAGGUACCUAUGCCUUCCAGCUUCUCAGGCCUCCACACCUCUCACCCAUGGCGUUUCCCAAAGUGGAAAGCCCGUACCAGGAGAGAAGGGAGUGAUGAAAAGUUCUAAAGAUCAAAAGAGGCUGCAUUUCUAAGUCCUGGAGCCAAAUGCCACCAAAUUGGCAACGUCUGAAAGCCGAACUCAGCAGUCCGGUGCUGGAUGCCAGACUGAGAAAAGGAGCAGCAGUGGACGGGGGCCUGACGGUAAAGCAAUUGUCUGGGAUUCUCCCGGGCUCUUCCAGCCGAGCCGGCCACCGCGACCCACCUCCCUCUUUUCGGUUUGCAUUUUCCUCUUGAGCCUCAACUCCCAGCAUGCAUUGCUGCCAGUGACCUUGAUCCCAGCUGGGGCCACCUGCCGUCUUCAUCUCACUCUCCGGCACUCCCUGGCCCCGUCUUGCACUUCUUAAAUUCUGGUGUAAAUAAAGGGGCAAAACCUCCAUCUUGGUAGCCCUUUCAAUGUGGAAAUGAGUGUCUUUCUUGGACGCUG